CUCCGAAACACGGAAGUAAGAACUCACGCAGCUUAGAAUUCCACGGAUUGUUUGUAAGGCUUGCUGUGAGAGAGCACUGGGUUGUAACUACACAUUGGGAGCCCUGAAGCACUCUCCCCCAAAGCUCCUUCAGGGGGAGUUUUUUUCCUUGCUUGGGAGGACAUGGAGAAGAGCAGCCACAGUCCAGACUGCCCAAGCUAGCUUCAGGGAGACUGGGAUGUACCCAUGGCCAUACACCCCAAUGUCUAUGCACCAAGGCUGACCACUGAAAGCCCACUGGAACAUGAGGAUGUGGGAGCCUGAACAGCUGGAGUUGCCAGAGAUUCCUGAUUGGAUUGGGGUGGAAGUGGCUGUUAAGGAGGAUGCCCCUGACAGAGGCCAAGGAGAGUUGUUUGUUCCUGCUGAUGCUGCCAAAUAACUAGAGUGUCUGCUGUACCUGCACCCCUCUUUUAAAAAAAAGUGGUUUAUAUUAUUAUUGUGGAUUUAAUUAAUUAGGCCUACACUUGAAUAACAAUUGAAUGUGCCUGGUUUUGGGUCAAUGUGUGUUUGAGGAAGAGUCAUCCAUCCUAUGUUUCUUUCUAUUUUCUUCUGUAUAGCAAAGUAGAGAUUUGGCUAUUUAGAAUACUGUCAUAUGAGAGGCUAGGACAUUUGGAUCAUGAUCCAAAAUGAUGCAGAAGGUAAAUUCAGACAGUGCCCCACUUUACCAGUACUAACCCAAUAUUUAUCCUUACUCCCAUACUCGGUCCUGGGGGGCCCCAGUGUAAGCUGGUUUUUGUUUCUGUAAUGUUUCUGUAUCUGUUCUACUUGUAUUAAUGUUUAUUCUUGUUAUUUAUUCAUUAUCAUACAUCCUUGGUCAUUGUUUUCCAUUACAGUUUCUCAUUUGUGAUCCCGUUAUGUCUGCGUCUGAAUGUUUACCAGCCGAGUCACUCCCCUGUCUGCGUGUCCCACUAUUCGGGUGUUUACGGUAGUUUUCGGUAUUUCAACGUUUCUUCAAAUCUCACAGUUCUUACUUCCUGCUUCUCUUGGUAGUUAAAUGUUGUAAAGCACUAUUCUUACUAACUACUACUCAUCUAGAAAUUGUACAGUACUAAUCCGAUUAAUACACUUACUGUCUGUCUAACUAACAGUCACUUUUAUUGGGUAGUUAGAAAUAUUUACGUAACUAAUUCACUAACACAAUGUCUUAGUGUUUCUGCACUAUUCUAUAACUCCGCCUCCCUAUGCUAUCCCUGAUUACUCGCUUAGUUUCAGCGAAGUGUUCGCACCUGUCUCUGACUAUCACUACGUCUUCAAUCUACGCAAAUGUCUACUCCCUAAUCCGGAGGCGUAUGUUUUACAUGUUUGGUUACGUGCAUCCAGUCCGCGUUUUCGUCUCCCUCCUGUUAUGAUGUUAUUACCCUAUUAUGUUUCCCCACCUGUUGUCUAUUUGUUUAGCCCACCUUCUCCCCAGCCCCGCCUAGAUUGCCACCUUCCCUCAUGUAUUUACACCUCAGUCUCCGUUUCACCCAUUGUCAGAACGUUGAUCAUUUAUAGAGCCAAAUUACUUGUACGCUCCCUUGUAGAGACCCCUUUGACUUUGAUUUUCGAGCUUGCCUUGCCCUCUUGUUUUGUUCGCCCAUCUCCUUUCCUGGUUUUUGAUCAUUUGCUUUGUAUUGGUGACUUUGAUUUUUGCCUUCACCCUUUUGUAUUUUCACCUUCGGAUUUAUUGGAUUUUUGACCUUUUUGCCGGUUUACUCGACUAUUCUUUUGCUUUCUGUUUUUGGCUUUGUCUUGGAUCUCUUGGCUUACGAACUCGGAAUAAAUAACAACGUUUGUGGAUUA